GGAACAUCACACGCUGGGGCUGUCGGGAGGUGGGGGACUGGAGGAAGAAUAGCAUUCGGAGAAAUACCUAAUGUAGAUGACGGGUUGAUGUGUGCAGCAAACCACCAUGGCACAUGUAUACCUAUGUAACAAACCUGCACAUUCUGCACAUGUAUCCCAGAACUAUUCUGCACAUGUAUCCCAGAACUUAAAGUAAAAAAACAAACAAACAAAUAAGCAAAACAAAGAAACAAGCACAGGCACUGUGGACCACGGAGGUUUCCAGCUGGUGAAGUGACACCCUAAGUGUCCUGUGACUGUUUUGAUGUUGUAGGCACCAUGACAACAGUUUAACAUGUAUGAUCUUAUUGAAUCCUCACAUUAAAACUGCUGUGAUCUGUCCGUAGUCCCGUUUUAUAGAUGAGAGACCUGAGCUUUACAGAGGAUAAGCAAGUUUCCCAAGGUCACACAUUGGAAAAUGGCAGAGUUGGAAUUUGACCUAAAAAUGUUAGACACUCACCUGUUAGUGGUCAAAGUGGUGUGAGCCUGUAAUUCCCACUACAUGAGGCUGAGGUGGGAGGAUCACUUGAGCUCAGGAGUUUGAGGCUACAGUGAGCUGUGAUUGAGCUGCUGCACUCCAGCCUGGGUGACAGAGUGAAACUUUGUCUCGGCAGAAAAAAAAAAAAAAAAGAAAAAGAAAAUAUCAGAGACUCACAUGCUGGACAUCUAACCUCAAGGAAACAUUCCCUCACUGUCCCUCAGAUGGACUGACCAUGACCUCCCAAAAGCAAAGAGGAGACCAGGAAAAGGUUCAGCAUGGCUCAUGUUGUUAUCCUGAUGAUUUCUUUUAAUUUUGCUUUUAGAAAAUCAAAGGAAUUACAAAACUUCAGCUUUGUGAUAUGUUUGUGCCUGAGACUGGAGGAAGGAAAGGGAAGUGUACCACUCCAUUGUGGACCACCAUUCCACUUAUGGACCACUUAAAAUGGACUGCACUAAUUCCAGGCAUACUACACUGUUUACUAAAAUUAAAAGAAAGAUGGUGGACUAGAAGCAGCUCAUGUGUGUUACUCUCAUAGAGAGAAAACAAAAGGGCAAAUGAACACUGACUCUGCAGGUGGAUCAUCUGAGAAAUCACACUGGGAUCCAUCAAGGCAGAAAGGGGACACGG
rnacentral:lncRNA from 1 species